rnacentral:piRNA from 1 species
UAAAUUUAAGAAACAAAGGGAGA